GUCGACUGCUGACUUCGACGCCGCCAUAUUGCAUAUUUCAUCUCCCAAGCAAGCAGUCGUGAAAUGGGAGAAUUUUCUUGGGAAUUGUUUGAGUUUUUCCCGCAUAUUAAUGGCCCCAAACCGCUUCGAUAAAGGUCGUAAACUAUUCGACAUUUCAUUUCGGGAGAAACAAGCGAACGACCAAUCAAAACCAACAUCAUUCUUCGUCCGGGACGCGUGUGGUGUUCCUUCGUCCUGUGUUCUUCAACAACAUGCCACAGUAAGCGCAUCGUUGAGUUGCUCAUUUGUGUUCCGGCAAGUAGAGGAUGCAUUUUCGAUGUGUGAAUCACUUUUACCUAUCCGGAAAAUGACGGUAUUGUGCAGUUCAAGACAAAUGCCAGGAUUCAUUUGCAUAGGAAGUCCACUGUAAAUACCCACUUUUUGAUAUCAACCCAUUUCCGGAUGUCCUGGCCCUUCGCAAAACUUUAUCAUUUUGUACAGAAUAGCUGAGGCAAUCUACAGCGUUCGACGUCGUCCAAAAACACCGACUUCCGUGUUGCUCGAUAUGGUCUAUAUACGCGAUGGUCUGGAACUAACCUAGGAAUUUCUAGUGAGAAGUUGCUCACCUUUCGCCAUAUCAUUUCGGUGAUCGGUAGUUUAUGUUAAGGAUGACUCGCUUCCCGUGGCUAGUGUUACCAUUAUAACCUGCGGAUGGACCGAUCAGGACAACGAUUAGGUUUCUAUUUUGCGAGUACAUAAUUCUAUCGGUGUGUGGAUAAUGCUCAAUACAUAAUCUGCUGAAUCGCACUAUCGCUUCAGCGGUAGAAAAAAAACGCAAUCUGUGAGCAUAACAUCAAUUUUCUUUGUUCAAAUUGCAUGUCAUAGAAAAUAUAAAAUGAAAACAAUAAACUAUUA